UACGGAGGGGGCUAGCGUUGUUCGGAAUUACUGGGCGUAAAGCGCACGUAGGCGGACUUUUAAGUCGGGGGUGAAAUCCCAGGGCUCAACCCUGGAACUGCCUUCGAUACUCGAGGUCUGGAGGUCGAGAGAGGCGAGUGGAAUGCCGAGUGUAGAGGUGAAAUUCGUAGAUAUUCGGCGGAACACCAGUGGCGAAGGCGGCUCGCUGGCUCGAUACUGACGCUGAGGUGCGAAAGCGUGGGGAGCAAACAGG
rnacentral:rRNA from 1 species